rnacentral:misc_RNA from 1 species
GAUGAAGAACGUAGCGAAAUGCGAUACUUGGUGUGAAUUGCAGAAUCCCGUGAACCAUCGAGUCUUUGAACGCAAGUUGCGCCCGAAGCCACUAGGCCGAGGGCACGCCUGCCUGGGCGUCACACGUCGUUGCCCCCCCCCCAUCUACUCCUUCGGGAUUGCGGGGGGCGGAUGAUGGCCUCCCGUGCGCCUAGCCGCGCGGUUGGCAUAAAUACCAAGUCCUCGGCGACGCACGCCACGACAAUCGGUGGUUGCGAAACCUCGGUUGCCCGUCGUGUGCGUUCGUCGCGCAUCGAGGGCUCGAAAAAAUGCUCGGCUCCGGCUCGGCUUUCAACGCGACCCCAGGUCAGGCGGGGUUACCCGCUGAAUUUAAGCAUAUCAAUAAGCGGAUGA